rnacentral:rRNA from 1 species
UACGUAGGUGGCAAGCGUUGUUCGGAUUUAUUGGGUUUAAAGGGCGCGUAGGCGGGCAGGCAAGUCGGAGGUGAAAGCCCACGGCUCAACCGUGGAAGUGCCCCCGAUACUGCCAGUCUUGAGGGAGGUAGGGGCGUGCGGAACUUCCGGUGGAGCGGUGAAAUGCGUAGAUAUCGGAAGGAACACCGGUGGCGAAAGCGGCGCGCUGGACCUCUUCUGACGCUGAGGCGCGAAAGCCAGGGGAGCAAACGGG